AGAUUAUUAAUCGUGGUAUCCAGCGGUUUGAUGUACAGGCUGUUAUUAUUCAGCGCGAUAUCGCCACUGGCGCGGACAUCGUCACCGACAAGCGGAAUAUCCAGAUGCAGUGUGCCUUUCACCGGCCCGCCAAUUUUCAGCUCAUCCAGCGCGGUACCCAGCGAGGAUUUCAGCGGCGUCUGAUGAAAAUAAUUACCCACUUCAGGCCCUGGACCAUCCAGUUCGCCAUCAAUAAGCAGCAUCUCUUUUUCAUAAUCAGGAAUGACCGCGCUAAUAUUUUUGCCUUCCACCUUACCCAGCCAGAUUUGCGGCGCAAACAUCCACAGACCGUUAUUGGCAAAAUCCAAAUUGAUAUCCAGCGGCGUCAGCGCAGGCCAGCCCGGCUGGAACUCAAAGGUGGCAUCCUUAACCGGCACC
rnacentral:ncRNA from 1 species